rnacentral:rRNA from 1 species
GGACGAUAAUGACGGUACUUUAGGAGGAAGCUCCGGCUAACUACGUGCCAGCAGCCGCGGUAAUACGUAGGGAGCGAGCGUUGUCCGGAAUUACUGGGUGUAAAGGGAGCGUAGGCGGGACUGCAAGUCAGAUGUGAAAUGCCGGGGCUUAACCCCGGAGCUGCAUUUGAAACUGUGGUUCUUGAGUGAAGUAGAGGCAAGCGGAAUUCCUGGUGUAGCGGUGAAAUGCGUAGAUAUCAGGAGGAACACCGGUGGCGAAGGCGGCUUGCUGGGCUUUUACUGACGCUGAGGCUCGAAAGCGUGGGUAGCAAACAGGAUUAGAUACCCUGGUAGUCCACGCUGUAAACGAUGAUUACUAGGUGUGGGGGGACUGACCCCUUCCGUGCCGCAGUUAACACAAUAAGUAAUCCACCUGGGGAGUACGGCCGCAAGGUUGAAACUCAAAGGAAUUGACGGGGGCCCGCACAAGCAGUGGAGUAUGUGGUUUAAUUCGAAGCAACGCGAAGAACCUUACCAGGUCUUGACAUCGUAUGCAUAAUCUAGAGAUAGAUGAAACCUCUUCGGAGGCAUAUAGACAGGUGGUGCAUGGUUGUCGUCAGCUCGUGUCGUGAGAUGUUGGGUUAAGUCCCGCAACGAGCGCAACCCUUACCUUUAGUUGCUACGCAAGAGCACUCUAAAGGGACUGCCGUUGACAAAACGGAGGAAGGUGGGGAUGACGUCAAAUCAUCAUGCCCCUUAUGACCUGGGCUACACACGUACUACAAUGGCAAUCAACAAAGAGAAGCAAGACAGUGAUGUGGAGCGAAUCUCAAAAAAUUGUCCCAGUGCGCAUUGC